rnacentral:rRNA from 1 species
UUUAUGUGAGUGGCGGACGGCUGAGUAACACGUUGGUACCUACCCUAAACUCGGGGAUAAGCCUUUGAAACGAGGUCUAAUACCCGAUACCCUCUUCGGAGGAAAGAUUUAUCGGUUUAGGAGGGGCCUGCGCAUGAUUAGCUAGUUGGUGAGGUAAUGGCUCACCAAGGCAACGAUCAUUAGAUGGUCUGAGAGGAUGAUCAGCCAGACUGGGACUGAGACACGGCCCAG